GGCCCAGCUCCGUGGCUUGUGAGCCACGGGUUGGGGAUCGGCCUGGCUGAGGUGUGGACAAUCCCGCAGGAGAGCGAGGCCAGACGUCCAGGAGCAGUGUGUCCACAGGCUGCUCCUGCAGAGGAAGAACAGCUGUCCACACCAGCUGAGCUCUCACCAGGCCGUCAUUCACUUUGAGAACUGGAUGCCGAACUCAACACCACUUGCCUCAGCGUGAGGGGAUGAUGGGUGUCCUGAACAUGGAAAAACGGAAACUUUCAAGAGGGGCCAGCAACCUGCUGUAGGCCACGCCUAGUGCCAGCCACAGUGUGCUCUCUGCCGCGUGGUGGUUGCCUCUAUCUAUUUGACUCCUUGCAAUUCCAUGUCUGCUCUCAGCCAGGCUAUGGUUGCUUCCAUUUCUGUCUCAUUUCAAGUUGAUUGUUCUCCCACAGACUGUCCCAAAUUGUCAUGUCUCGACGAACAGGGAAGGCUGUGUGACUGACGUGGAUGGUCUGUCUAUCCCACGUGUCCCUAAAUUGAACCCAGGAAGAAAAGGUUCCUGGAAUCUUCAUUUUGCUGGGACAUCAUCUGUGCUUCCCAGCUUCUCCGUAUCUUGUUCUGAGAGGUUCACAAAAAAUUCUCUGACAUGUCCUCUGAGCAACACUAAGUUCAUUGGAAAGACAUUUUUAACCGAAUCUGAGUAGGAAUGUCUUCUUCUACUCUGAGAUUGCACGAGCACCCCAGAACCCUAUGCUUUCCUAACCACCAUCUACAGCCCUGGGAAAGGAGAUUCCCCAGGAUCCUGUUCUGGCCUCAGCCACUGGACCAGGAUGAGCUGCUCAGACACCCCUGAGGAAGAAUUCUCAGGGCACUCUAUCAUGCAUGGGAGGAAGAUCUGACUUGCCAUUCUGAUAAUAGUAACAAAACUAUAUUGUUCACCUGCCCCCAACCACUGGAAUGUGGAGCCCCUGGCAGGCCGCUCUGUAGGAAAAGAUGACUUGCAGCAGGAUCUUCGUCUUCUUCUCCAACUCCCCAAGCCAGAAUUUCCAGGUCUGAAUCCCUCUGCCCUGUCAAGUAGAAGCAGCUCAGGGCCAGUGUAGGGAGUUCCGGGCUGAGUGUAGCCCAUCACAAAGGACAUGCACAUUUUGAAUAUUUGAAGUCUGAGAUGUGGACACUGGCGCUGGGAGCUGUGUGAAUGAAAGGACAAGCAGGAAUGGCAGCUUGCUGGCCUGGGAUCAGUGAGACCCUCAUGUGAAAAGUAAGGUGGAUGCCCAUGGGCCCGGAGUCCCCUUUGAACCCAGGACUGUGGGUGGGGGAGGCAGCCUGAUCUCUGUGAAUUCUGGGCUACAGAGAGAUUUCAGGCACAGCCAGGUAUACACAGAGACACCCUGUCUCAAAAAGCAAACAAGAGAAUUAAGGUGUAAAAGCACUGGAUGAAUAUUUCUGGUCUACACACGUACUCAAAGGGUGAGAACAGACAGACACACAAUACUCAUUAUGUACAAUUCAGCAAUCCUGCCUUACCUGUUUUUCCUCAAUACUGUCUAGACCCUAUAUUCCUGGGAUUUUAUUGUCAUUUCCAAAAUUCCUGGCUCUUAAACCCCACAGUGACAUAACUAUCAGUCCCCUCAAAUGAGAAACCUUUUUUCCCCCUCUCCUCGAAUGCUGACACAGGUUUUCUGUAUGCAGUCCAGGCUGCCAAGGACUGGCGGCCUCCUACCACUGGCCAACUGAGUGUUGGGGCUUCAGGUCAGAACCUAAUCCCAUUGGGUUUUGUGAUUUUGUUUUUAAAUGACGCAUGUAGCUGUGGAUAUCCUUAAAUUUUGAAUCUUUCAAUCUCCAUGUACCAAAUGCAGGGAUUCCAGUAAUUCUCCACCAAGUCUGGUUUAUUUUGUCUUCUGGACAAACCCAGGGUUUCUUGUAUGCUGGGCAAGAGCUGUCCCAACUGAGUCACACCUGUAUCUCAGCCUAUCCGGGGAUUCAGUGUAGCUGAGGAAGAUCUGGAGUUCUGGAUCGCCCCUAUGGAAUUACAGGACUGCACCAUUUACCCUGCAUUUUCUCUUUUACCAUUUCUAGAUGACCUGUCUUUCUACUGAAAGUCUUUUGACAGACUGAAAGAAAGAACUGUGGCCAGACACCACUUUUCUUCUGAAGCUGGCACUUUGUGGCAGAGCAAGGGUGAAGGAGUAUGCCAAUAAUUCCAGGGCUCUGGAGGCUUGGAUUGUAGACGUGUCAUAGACUCAAGGCAAGCCUGGGCUAUAUAAGGACCAGUAGUCUAGCUUUGGUGGCAGUGUAAGAUCUCUCUCUAAAAACAGAAUGUGACCAGGAGGACUAGGGAUCAGUGUGUCCAGCCUGCAGAGUGAUUCUUGGUCCUGGGUUCUUUCCCAGCACAAAUUACAACCAGGUGGAGCUUCCCUGAUAUUGGGGGUAGAGACAAGAGGAUCAGGCAGUCAAGGUCAUCUUCCAAAGCAGAGAGUUUGAGGCCAGUCUAGGAGGAAUGACACUAUGUUCAAUAAGCAAUCCCUACUCCCAAAUCUAAAUGCCCAUAUCUGAGAAAAGAAUGCCAUGGAAGCCCAUCACAACCUCAUAUCCUGGUGAAUCAGAAUGCCUUUCCCAUGGAGACAUGAACCCAGAGCAUCCAGAGGUGAUUCACAUCUGGAAUUGGCCUGAGCAUUGAGUCAUCACCUGUGCACUGCACUAAGGAGCUGUUCAGGAAGUACUUCCUACUGGUCAUGUGGGAGGAGUGAGGAGGUAGGCAUGGAGGGCAUGGAGACUCCCUCCUGUGCCAAUGAGAAAGGCAGAAUGCAGCUGGCUCUUGAAGCUGUGAGACACUCUGAUGUUUUGCUGCCCCCUUGUGGCCUCUCUAAACCUGUUCCCUGUUAGGGCACCUGAUCUGCUGCAGUCCCUGCUUCAGCUCUGGACAAGAUUGUGGUGGUUAGGUGGCUUUCAGAACGGGGUGGAGGGAGGCUUGCCCUGCUAAACCCAUCUAACAUGCUUUUGUCCUUCCUUCUUUCAUUGCUUUUUCCCAUUUAUGAUUACAGACAAAAUAGCUUUCAGAGCUGGGCUGUCCAGAUGUCCCUGAACAAAUUUCACAGACCCACUGCUGCUCCUGGACCUGCACUCCACAAUGGAGAUGACUGGGUUGCGAGUAAAGUCUGUGAAAUCCACACCAGUGUGAGAUUCAGAAGCACAGGAGGGCUGGGACCGUGCCUGUCUGUCCACAAUACAGUGCCUGCUUUCGUUGUGACAUAUGAGUUCUUUCCCCAGAAAGCGAGGGAAAAACCAGCAGGCUGGCUGAGGCUUCUUACCCCAGAUGGAGACAGGUGCUUCAACCUUGCUGGACUUGAGCAAGCCUGUGUCCAAAACACAAGGUGUACAGCAUCUCAGAGUUGACAUUUUAGGGAAUACAUGUGCUACAUACAUAAAGGUUGGAGAAUACAUGUGGAUAUAUACAAGCACACAGAUGCACAAGCACACAACUGUAAACAUAUUACAGCUUGGGGCUAUCAAAAGCCAGUGGAGAUGCCCCUGCACUAGAAGAAGACCACCUCCAUCAACUCUACUAGCACCCCCAUAUCAUUAAGUUAUGUUUGUUAAUUUGGAAAUAAAUUGUGUUUUUUAAUGA